UUGUACGGCCUUAAGUGUGCUAUGAAUCUGACUCCCAAUUGUCCCCCCUUUUGCUUGCAUCCCCAGACACGGCAAAUUCAAAGCUCUCCGAUUCUGCAGAACUGACUUUCCAGAUGAGAAGGCCAGCAGGAGAGAGGGAGGCUUCUGGAGGGCCACCUUCUAAGUUCCAUACUCUGGGAUUGAGAAUAAGCAAUGAAGAGUGGAAUAUUAAUACUACAAAUAAAUGAGCUAUGGGGGUGCCACAGCAUCUGAUUCUCCUGAUGCACAACCUAUACUCUGGAGAAGAGGCUACUGUAAGGACAAAAUAUGAAGAAACUGAUUGGUUCCCAGUCAGAAAGGGUGUGAGUCAGGGGUGUAUUUUAUCAUCCUAUUUGUUUAAUCUAUAUGCAGAAUAUAUCAUAAGCAAAGCAGGAUUGGACCAAGGUGAAGGAAGUGUGAAAAUUGGAGGGAGAAAUAUCAAUAAUUUAAGAUAUGCAGACAAUACCAUACUACUAGCAGAAACCAGUAAUGAUUUGAAACAAAUGCUGAUGAAAGUUAAAGAGGAAAGCAGAAAAGCUUAUGUAACUACAGCAGAAUAUCAGGAAGACUAAAGUAAUGACAAGAGAAGAUUUAUGUAACCUUAAAGUUGACAACGAGGACAUUGAACUUGUCAAGGAUUAUCCAUACCUCGGCACAGUCAUUAACCAAAAUGGAGACAAUAAACAAGAAAUCAGAAGAAGGCUAGGACUGGGGAGGGCAGCUAUGAGAGAACUAGAAAAGGUCCUCAAAUGCAAAGAUGUAUCACUGAACACUAAAAUCAGGAUCGUUCAGACUAUGGUAUUCCUGAUCUCUAUGUAUGGAUGUGAAAGAUGGACAGUGAAAAAAGGAGAUAAGAGAAAAAUCAACUCAUUUGAAAUGUGGUGUUGGAGGAGAGCUUUAUGCAUACCAUGGACUGUGAAAAAAACCAAUCAUU